GACGAACGCUGGCGGCGUGCUUAACACAUGCAAGUCGAACGGAAAGGCCCUGCUUUUGUGGGGUGCUCGAGUGGCGAACGGGUGAGUAACACGUGAGUAACCUGCACUUGACUUUGGGAUAACUUCUGGAAACUGGGGCUAAUACCGGAUAGGAGCUCCUGCUGCAUGGUGGGGGUUGGAAAGAUUCGGCGGUUGGGGAUGGAAUCGCGGCUUAUCAGCUUGUUGGUGGGGUAGUGGCUUUCCAAGGCUAUGACGGGUAGCCGGCCUGAGAGGGUGACCGGCCACAUUGGUACUGAGAGACGGCCCAGACUCCUACGGGAGGCAGCAGUGGGGAACAUGGCACAGUGGGCGGAAGCCAGAUGCAGCAGCGCCGCGUGCGGGAUGACGUCCUUCGGGUGAUAAACCGCUUUCUCCUGUGACGAAGCGUGAGUGACGGUAAUGGGUAAAGAAGCACCGGCUAACUACGUG
rnacentral:rRNA from 1 species